UCCCCACUGGCAAUGGACAAAGAGAUACCUUGUUGGUGGUGUUGUUCUUAUAUUGGUCAUGGGCAGAGCAGAUGGCAGUUCUUUGUUCAUCCUAGACUGAUGCCUGACUUGGUGGCCAAAGCUGUUUAAUGUCUAGGACACAUCA